rnacentral:misc_RNA from 1 species
CGGAUUUUCAAGAUUUUCCCUCGAUUUCUCUGGGAUCCCAUCAUCAGAUCCUGGUUUUCUUAUCAUGGUACUAAACUAGGGAUAUCUUCUUUCUAACAAAAAAAGAAUUAUCAAAAUCGGUAUAUCCAGUAGAAAGUUAUGCGGUAUAAUAUAACGUAGGUCGACGAAAAAAGCGUCAAGUAAAAACGCAUUAUUAGAUAUAACUCGAAAAGUAGUUGUUAGAUCUCAAAUAAAUUUAAAUGGGACCAAUUGGCACACACCACCUUUCGAUUAAAAGAAAAUUUGUCGAAAUCGGUCCACACGGGCAAAAGUUCUGAUGUAACAUACAUAAAA